rnacentral:lncRNA from 1 species
CUUUCAUUCAUUUACCUAUCAUUUGCUGAGUGUAUAUAGUGCAUGACAGGCCACAGGCCAGCCAGACGAGGUGGCCAAACAAAGAAAUAAUAAGACAUCGUCCGAGCCUCAAGGAUGUCACACCUAGCAGAAAUGUCCAUGUAUAAAAAUAAUCCUGGUACACUGUAACAGUGCGAGAGAACCUAGUAAUAUGAGAGCAUAGAGGGUAGUCAGAGAAAGCUUCACAGAAGACAAAACAUUUGGAGUGGGUCUGGAAGGAUGAGUAAGAGUUUACUAUUUGGGGUUAACUCCCGAAGUGGAAAACACCACCAUAUUGGAAGCCUUGGGGUACUCUCAAAGUCAGCAAAUUUAUAGCCUCAUGCAAGAUCUGAGUAGUAACAGCCAUUUUGCAUCUUGUUUUUUAUGGCUAAUAAGAGAAAAAGCAAAAACAGGGACCUAUAGGAGAUGGGAGAUGUGCCCUGGUGAUGCGGACAGGCCUGUCCCUUCCAUGGGAGGUAUCUUUGGAAAUCCCCCAUCUCCACGGUAAUACGAGCUGCCAGCCGGCAGAGGGUGAAUUAGCACUGGCACCAUCAGAUACAAGCUGGACACAGCUGAGUGCAGACAGGACACCACAUCAUCUGGGACAAGAGAGCAGACUGCUAUGACAGGUUGGUCUCAGGCCGACAGGACCCAGCCUGGGCCUGACCCACUGGUUAAGCACUGGGAGGCACAGAUGUAUGAGGACUUGCCAUCUAGGAGUCAGAGAAUCAGCACAUAUCUUGUCAUGUCAUAGCUGAAGAGCUGCCACCUAGACCUGUUCCUGCUGCUUCACUCUGGUUUUCCCAUGGCCCAUAUGGAAGGGAACCAGGGUUGGGCUACCACCAUUUUGUGCUCCCAGAUUGGAGGAUGGGUGAGGCCUCUCCAUCCCAGCUUCCCUGGAUAACUUAAUUUAAGCUUAUGACACAUAUUCUCUGAAAGGCAAACCCAUGAGGUGUAUUCACAAAGAGGACAUCAAAUCCCACUUGGAGUCUUGUGUCAUUAAACCAUUACAGUCAGCCCUCCAUAUCCCUAGGUUCUGCAUCCAUGGAUUCAACCACCCAUGAAUAAAAAAUAUCCAGAAAAAAAAAGUUGAUGGUAGUGUCUGUGCUGAACAUGUUCAGACCUUUUUUGGUCAUUUUUCCCUAAACAAUACAGUAUAACAACUAUUUACAUAGCAUGUAGAUUGUAUUAGGUAUAUAUAAGUAAUCUAGAGGUGAUUUAAAGUAUAAAGGAGGAUGUGCAUAGGUUAUAUGCAAAUAGUAUGCCAUUUUAUAUAAGUUAUUUGAGCAUUUCCUCUAUGGGUUUUGGUAUCCAUGGAGGUCCUGGAACCAAUCCCCCACAGAUACCAAGGGACAAGUGUAUUUAGCAUUUUCAUACACCCUGUUUCAUCUGCAUAAGACCCUGACGAUUUCAAGAUACGCUAUCUUUUUACAUACCACUAAGAAAAACCAGCCAACUAGACUAUGGCAUGCCAUCUGCAGUAAGAUGGAUUCUGAUUUCAGAACUGUUAAAGGAUUUUUUGAAAAGUACUUUCUAGAAUCAACAAAAUCCAAAGGCUUUCUUCUCCAACUAGACUGUGAGUUCCUAGAGGGCAGAGAACAUACUUAUAAUUUUCUGUACUUUGCAGUGCCUAGCACAGUGUCAUACACAUAGAAAAUACACUGUAAAACACUCUAAUGAAUGAAAGAAAAGUGAAUAGUUAAUAUAA